UUCCCUCAGAUGCCUUGAGUCGAGCCCUUUGAAUGGCUGGUAAUUAGCAUCUCAAUAAGCUAAUAUAGUUGCAGCUAAAUACUAAUCAAAUCAGAGUCAGUAAAACUUAUACAUCAUGACAAAGACAUCCCUGAAUUUUUGCAUACUAUGAUUCAGCAACUACUCCUAGAUCUACUGAGCUAAUGCAUGUACAAGGACCUUCUAAACUCCAAUACCAACAUCCCUCUAUUCGCCAAGUUGGGUCCUCGACAUUUUGAGAAAUCCUUCGUAAAAAAACUGGGAAUGAGCCAACUUCUUUUGUUUCAAUCCUUUCGACCUUUGCCCCUCACGAGGAUUUUCUGUACCAUUUGACCAUAAUCAAUAGCUUCUCCAUAUGAACAAGGUGCUUCCGGACCCGGUAGACAUACAAACAGUAGAGAAUUGCAGCAAAUGUUACCGCCAGAAAUGAUGCCAAUGUCAAUUUCCAGAAAUCCUAUAGCC